UGCUUUAACAAAAUACACUGGAUGAGAUGAGCCUUUCAGAAGAAGAAAGUUAAGAAGAAAACUGAGCAGAACCUGCAAGUUUUAUGAGAUCCCAUUGUAAUUGCACCAUUGAACACAGUCAAAAGUGACAAAUCUUCAGUAACUCCUGCAGGGCAUUUUCACCCUCUUAAUGGAAGAAGAAGAAGAAGAAGAAGAAGAAGAAGAAGAAGAAGAAGAAGAAGAAGAAGAAGACGACGACGACGACGACGACGAUGACUGGGGACAUAGAUGUAUGGUGUGAGCCCAGUGAAAUGCAGAUUUGCAAAAUUAAAGGAGAAAUUUUGGAGUGGAGAGAGAGGGGAAAGCAAAAUACUUUAAAUACUCACUGAUUUAUUUCAUUGUGGGCUUCUGUGGAUCAAGUGUCCUUCAAUGAAUUGGAAGGUAGCUUCUGCUGUAAUCCUAUAAACUAACCUUUCUCAAACCUCAAACGUCUCCAGAUGUGUCAGACCACAAUUCCCACAAUCCCCAGCCAACCAGCUAUAAGGUUAUACUUCUACCCUCCUGGAAGAUCCCAUAUUGGAAAAGGCUGUUGUACACAAUUAUUAGAUAUUCCACCCCUUUAAUGUCUUAGCCGCAGUCCUCAUGUCAAGAUUUGAUGGGAAAAUCUGUGAUUUCUGAUUUAAAGAGGUCUUUUCACACAUCACUUCCAAUUUUUAAGAUUUGAUUCACAAGGCUUAAUUGGUUCCUUUGAACCAUUUCCCUAAUUUAGAGAUGAAGUUAGGACAGAACUUCAAGUGGCCCUUAAUUACUGCCUGAUAUGAAUGCACCACACUAGGGCACUUGUUAAAACUGAUGAUUGAAAUUACAUCCUAUCUGUCAAAAUUUGGUGACAGUUGCUCUUCUCUGCACAGAGAAGGUCCCACUUUCGAGCCAAGGGAACUUUAUUUUAAAAUGUUUCAUGCAAGAGAUGGGAAGGAUUGCAGAAAACCACUGCUGAUCAGGGCU